rnacentral:tRNA from 1 species
GCAAAUGUAGUUUAUUUUAAAACAUGACACUGAAAAUGUCAAAAUAGAUAGCGUAUCUCAUCAGCA